rnacentral:pre_miRNA from 1 species
AUGUAAAUGGCUUGGGAUCUUGUUAAAAUGCAGAUUCUGAUGCAGAGGGCUGCUUGGGCCCUGAGAUUCUGCAUUUCUAAUGAGCUCCCAGGUGAUGGCGAU